GAUGAACGCUGGCGGCGUGCCUAAUACAUGCAAGUCGAGCGAACGGACGCGAAGCUUGCUUCGCUGAUGUUAGCGGCGGACGGGAGAGUAACACGUGGAUAACCUACCUAUCAGACUGGGAUAACUUCGGGAAACCGGAUCUAAUUCCGUAUAAUAUUUUGAACCGUAGGGUUCAAAAGUGAAAGACGGUCUUUCUGUCACUUAUAGAUGGAUCCGCGCUGCAUUAGCUAGUUGGUAAUGUAACGGCUGACCAAGGCAACGAUGCAUAGCCGACCUGAGAGGGUGAUCGCCCACCUUGGAAGUGAGCCGCGGUCCAGACGCCUACGGGAGGCAGCAGAAGCGAAUGUGCCGCAAAGGGCGAAAGCCUUACGGAGCAAGGCCGCGUGAGAGAUGAAGAUCUUCGGAUCGUAAUACUCUGUUACUAGGUGAGAACAUAUGUGUAAGGAACUGAACACAUAGUGACGGUACCUAAUGAGAAAGCCCCGGCUAACUACGUG
rnacentral:rRNA from 1 species